GUGAGUCAUCGAAUCUUUGAACGCACCUUGCACUCCUUGGGUAUUCCGAGGAGUAUGCCUGUUUGAGUGUCAUUAUAUUCUCAAAAACCUAGGUGUUCUCUGAAUGACUAGGCUUUUUGGAUGAUGAGGGAUUGCUUGGCUUUCUAUCGAGUCCGGUUCCCUUCAAAUGUAUUAGUGGUUGCUUCAUUCACUAGAGUGUGAUAGUAUAUCUACGCUUGUUACAGUGAACUUGAAUAUAAAUCAUCUGCUUUCCAACUGUCUUGAAACAUAACAGGACAUAUUUUGACUAUUUGACCUCUAAAUCAGGUAGGACUACCCGACUGAACUUAAGCAUAUCAAUAAGCGGAGG
rnacentral:rRNA from 1 species